UACGUAGGGUCCGAGCGUUGUCCGGAAUUAUUGGGCGUAAAGAGCUCGUAGGCGGUCUGUUGCGUCGGUUGUGAAAACCUGGGGCUCAACUCCAGGCCUGCAAUCGAUACGGGCAGACUAGAGUUCGGUAGGGGAGACGUGAAUUCCUGGUGUAGCGGUGAAAUGCGCAGAUAUCAGGAGGAACACCGGUGGCGAAGGCGGGUCUCUGGGCCGAUACUGACGCUGAGGAGCGAAAGCGUGGGGAGCGAACAGG
rnacentral:rRNA from 1 species